CCCUUAGAUGUUCUGGGCCGCACGCGCGCUACACUGAUGAAUUCAACGAGCUCCUAACCUAGGCCGAAGGGUCCGGGUAAUCUUUGAAAUUUCAUCGUGAUGGGGAUAGAUUAUUGCAAUUAUUAAUCUUCAACGAGGAAUUCCUAGUAAACGCAAGUCAUCAGCUUGCAUUGAUUACGUCCCUGCCCUUUGUACACACCGCCCGUCGCACCUACCGAUUGAAUGGUCCGGUGAAAUCUUCGGAUCUGAGAGAUGUCUGAUUAAUUUCGGACGCCUUUUGGAAAAGUUGCUGAAACCUUACCAUUUAGAGGAAGGUGAAGUCGUAACA
rnacentral:rRNA from 1 species